rnacentral:lncRNA from 1 species
UAUUCGAAAGAAGGUAGGAAGUGGGACGUCUACGUUUAGCGUUCGCAAUUACACUCUACGAAAUAAGAAAAUUCCCUUAUAGAAAGAUGGUGGCGAUAAAAUCGUUUAUUCGUUGGUAACAUUGUGCGCGUGGACAAAUCCAUCGUGAUGACAGUUUCGAGCGGUGACAGUCGCGUACGUGUUUGUCGGGCUAAGAGAAGCGUUCCUUCCUAUUCCGUUAGUUAGUAAGAGCCACUUUCAUCGUUUCGUCUAACGCUCCGUCAUUUAAUGAGUUAUCAACGGAAUACGAAUCGUGCCGGAGGUGUGAUGGUAAUGGGAAUUGAACAAUAUAACUUUAUCAUGGUAAUACUGAUGAUCAAUUAUAAUUAUUUAAUAUUACAAUAUAAUGAACAGGAUUUUAUUGAGGAG